rnacentral:rRNA from 1 species
GCAGUCGUACGAGAGUUUUUAACUCAAGUGGCGGACGGGUGAGUAACACGCUGAGNNNNUGCCNUUAGGAGGGGGAUAACAGAGUGAAAACGCUGCUAAUACCCCAUAUGCUUUCGAGUGAAAUGGAUUUAUUCGCCUAAAGAGAAGCUCGCGGCUGAUUAGCUUGUUGGUAAGGUAAUGGCUUACCAAGGCGACGAUCAGUAUCUGGUUUGAGAGGACGAUCAGACACACUGGAACUGAGACACGGUCCAGACUCCUACGGGAGGCAGCAGUGGGGAAUUUUCCGCAAUGGGCGAAAGCCUGACGGAGCAAUACCGCGUGAGGGAUGACGGCCUAUGGGUUGUAAACCUCUUUUCUCAGGGAGGAAAUCAAUGAUGUUACCUGAGGAAUAAGCAUCGGCUAACUCCGUGCCAGCAGCCGCGGUAAGACGGAGGAUGCAAGUGUUAUCCGGAAUCACUGGGCGUAAAGCGUCUGUAGGUGGCUUAACAAGUCAACUGUUAAAUCUUGAAGCUCAACUUCGAAAUCGCAGUCGAAACUGUUAGGCUAGAGUAUAGUAGGGGUAAAGGGAAUUUCCAGUGGAGCGGUGAAAUGCGUAGAGAUUGGAAAGAACACCGAUGGCGAAGGCACUUUACUGGGCUAUUACUGACACUCAGAGACGAAAGCUAGGGUAGCAAAUGGGAUUAGAUACCCCAGUAGUCCUAGCCGUAAACAAUGGAUACUAGAUGUUGG